UCGGUUAAUCCKAUWGUAAUUAAAGCCACACUGAGACCACUGUUUGUUGGCCGGAGUGCACUGUAUCCGAUWAUAUUGACAAUAAUUGYCAUCUGUAUGGCCAUUAUGACCUGUAUUAUCUGUUUUAUCGCAUCGGUAAUCGAGUCGGACAUUGAAGAACGCCAGAACCGGGCUCUAGGAAAAUGGGUUAAUAGAGAGGCCAGUAUCAGAAAGUCAAAGACUAUUGAAUUAAAUUCAAGAAAAUUAAAAAAAUAUGAAAAACAAAAUCAAUUGAAACGACAAGUGAUUAAACCA